AGUAGAUGAUGUAGAGAUAUUAUGUAAUCUGUUUAGCAUGACUUUUGACCCUAAAAAGGUAGAGGUCAUAUAGCAAAUGGAAACAAAUGGCCGCGUAAACAAAGCCAGCCUUGAUGCUGAGCCGCCCUCAGCUCAUCCCAAACAUCUCAUCAUCUUAUCUCCGCGGCCCCCACUUGCCUCCAACCACAAACCGCAGAAUUGAUUUUGGACACGAUAACUCGCGCAUGUGAAUCACAGCCCCGAGCGUCGUCCUAAAACUACAUUAGAUAAGCAUUUACACAAGCCAAACUCCGCACGGAGCGAUUUCGACAUCUCCGCCGAGCCAGAACACAGCCAAGGACAACAACAGAAAGCCUCCUGGCUCCAGUGGAAGCAGGGGACGCAGGUGGAACAUGGAGGCAGGCUCAGGCGGACUCAGCGGACGGCCACAGUUUGCAGGAUCCAAACGCAGCCGGAAAUAGCGGCGUGCUGGAGGACGCGGUGGUAGAGCACUUACUGGCUCCUGAAUGAUUCUGCAGAGUCUUCCUGGAAGUGUGACUCUGACAAGUGAGGUAAAACACGAGGCGAGGCUCAUUCCGUGAGUGCAGACGUCCUGAAGUUCACCCAAAACGUCCGAGUCACGCAAAUGGAAUCUGCCUUGUGCUUGUGGCGUCUGCUGCACUCCUUCGUGGAUCUGCUUCACUUCCUGUUUUGCAACGCUCGCGCUGAGGAUGAGCCUCUCGUCCCGGCGAAGGGGUCAGACGGGGUGGACAGCCGGCGCUGGGAGUGUGAGCGGCCGAUCGACUGUGUCCUUCAAAAUGCUGUUGAUUUGAGACGAAAACAUUCUUUUUGCAAAUUUAUGCUCUUGUGUUAUGGGUCUCUUUGGGAAGAGUCUCCCGGGUUUUCUGGCUUCGCGUCACCUCCUGAUGCUGCUUCACCACAGAGUGACCAGGACAGCGCUGCUGCUGUCGCCGGUCCAAGUUCAUAAGACACGCAGAUGCCAGAGAAGUGCAGUGGGGUGAAUGCGGCUUUCCCAGGCUCUGAGUCCAGGAGGAAACCCUGCUCUUUGGUCUUACACACACACACACACACACACACACACACACACACACACACACACACACACACACACACACACACACACACACACACACACACACACGGAGCCAGCAACCAAAACAAACAUGUUUAAUAGUGAAUUAUUGCUUGUGGUUGCAGAGGCUGUGGUUUUAUCGCUGAAAUGAAUAAGUUGGCGUCCUACGGGGCAAAAGAUAAGACGCUCUGGUGUCAUUCCUGUUUCACCAGCAACCAUUUACUAACCUCUUAAUGGAGUAAUUACAAGAACAGACUGAUUUGGAAACUCAGUGAAACGCUCUUGCACAACAGCUCCGUGCGCUUCGCAGGAAUGCGCCCUGACGCUCCUCGCGCCAUAAUAAGGCCAUAAACUGAAGGAUUACCAGACCCAAUUAAAAUCAAACCUCAGUCUCUGUCCGCACAUUCUCCAGAUGCGCCGUCGCAAACUGCACGCGAGCGCAAACGAAGAGGCGUGUGAAAUAACAUGUUUUUCACGCCACGGAGACGGACCCGGCCCACGUCCUCCUGUCCACGUUCCGGUUCGGGUUUGGAGGCAGCGGUGCAGAGGUACCGUGUGUGCGUGCCCCCGGUAAUCAUCUGCGGGCCUGAGCACGAGCCAAAGAGGAAGAGGGGCGCAAUGAGCUCAAGGGCUCGCGCAGCCGCGUCACGUGGUGCGGCGCAGAUGUGCGGCCAUAAGCGGGCUGGACCACAGCGGAGAGGACGCUUAAUUGCAAUCUGAUCGUUUUUGAUCCAAAAGGAAAACAAAUCAAACAUUUAGCGCGAGGUCGAGCUAGAAGUUUAUUUCCUCAUCAUGUCGCGGCUCUCCGGUGAUGCGCCCGGAGUGUUCUGCUGGGAACUGCUGUUUUCUUUCCUGAUUAAAAGAGAAAACAGCACAAACGACUGCAACGUUGACCUGACGUGGUUGGAUAAAUAUUCCAGAACGUCAAUUUCCAGAUGAUCCAAACGGUCCUGCGCAUAUUUAUUUGUUUGUUUGGCUUCUCUUUGUCUGUUACUCAUUUCGCGUGAUUGUGUAAAUAAAAGUUGGGGGAAGUAAGAUCA
rnacentral:lncRNA from 1 species